rnacentral:rRNA from 1 species
GACGAACGCUGGCGGCGUGCUUAACACAUGCAAGUCGAACGGAAAGGCCCUGCUUUUGUGGGGUGCUCGAGUGGCGAACGGGUGAGUAACACGUGAGUAACCUGCCCUUGACUUUGGGAUAACGUCAGGAAACUGGGGCUAAUACCGGAUAGGAGCUCCUGCUGCAUGGUGGGGGUUGGAAAGUUUCGGCGGUUGGGGAUGGACUCGCGGCUUAUCAGCUUGUUGGUGGGGUAGUGGCUUACCAAGGCUUUGACGGGUAGCCGGCGUGAGAGGGUGACCGGCCACAUUGGGACUGAGAUACGGCCCAGACUCCUACGGGAGGCAGCAGUGGGGAAUAUUGCACAAUGGGCGGAAGCCUGAUGCAGCAACGCCGCGUGCGGGAUGACGGCCUUCGGGUUGUAAACCGCUUUCGCCUGUGACGAAGCGUGAGUGACGGUAAUGGGUAAAGAAGCACCGGCUAACUACGUG